CCUUCGGGUUGUAAAGCACUUUUGUUGGGGACGAAAAGCCAUGGGCUAAUACCUUGUGGGGCUGACGGUACCUGAGGAAUAAGCACCGGCUAACUUCGUGCCAGCAGCCGCGGUAAUACGAAGGGUGCAAGCGUUAAUCGGAAUUACUGGGCGUAAAGGGUGCGUAGGCGGUUAUUUAAGUCUGCCGUGAAAUCCCCGGGCUCAACCGGGGAAUGGCGGUGGAUACUGGAUAGCUAGAGUGUGUCAGAGGAUGGUGGAAUUCCCGGUGUAGCGGUGAAAUGCGUAGAGAUCGGGAGGAACAUCAGUGGCGAAGGCGGCCAUCUGGGACAACACUGACGCUGAAGCACGAAAGCGUGGGGAGCAAA
rnacentral:rRNA from 1 species